GGGGGUGCUAGGCACUCGACAUUCUAGAACUUUAAAAAGCUGCAAGCCGAGUUUGAACCAUACUCGUAAAACAGAUUCAAAACACAAGUGUCAAUUUUAUGGCACAAUUCAAACAAGGAUUUGCUGAUCUCAGCAACUAUCUGUUUGGACCUCGUUUAGCAUUCGCUUAACGAGCAUCUUGUACUUUCUUUCUCGACUGAGAAUACAAGGUGACAACCAAUCGAGAUGCUAUACGCAAGUUCCAAUUAGCUGACGCGUAUUUAAGAAAACCUAAUUGACAGUCGCUCCGAACUUCAUCGGAGACAAGCUUGUAGAUGCUUUCGAAGAACUAUUAUGGACGUGGGUUCAAAUCCCACCACCUCCACAC
rnacentral:tmRNA from 1 species